GGUUGGAACAAUGGGAGACAUAGGGUGCGUUCAUAAAUUCACUCUGGCUAUCUACUCCGAUUUCAGAGCACUCUCGCCAGACCACAGUAUAACUGCUGAAUUUAAGAAUGCUCAACACCAGUUGAAUAUGGCCGGUGUCAGUAAACGUUGGCAAAAUGCGUAAUUAUAUUGUUGCCAAUAGCACAGUUACAGUCACCAACGCUCUGGAUAACACGAAAACAGCCUAAUCAGCUCUACUUGGCAGGUACGGACAGAGAUUAUCACACUACUGUCAAUGGACUGGAAUAAGAGGAAGUUCACCAACAUGGAUCGCAUGUAAUACUCGUCUGAAGAGGUGGACCAAGAUGCAGCGUGGGAAUGUCAAAAGACUGGAGGAGACCAGCUUUGCGAAAAGCGGGAAGAGCUAGAUAUCAACACCGCUGUGCUACAGGAGUGGAUUACUGAGGUCCAGCAGUGGCCUGAUGACACACUUCAGGAUCGUCAGACGGGGCAUCUCCAGAAGAAGCUUGAAGGGCUUUACCACAGUGUGAAAGAGGAAACUACCUCUACCAUUUGACAGCUCACAGGCACCUGCCAUCAAAAGGCAAUCUUCAACAGACUGAUGUUAGUGAACAGACUGCAGGAGGAAGAGAGGAUCCUGGUCCGGGAGAUGAAGAGGCACUGGGGGAGCCUACAAAGAGCAGUGGGAACUGUGGCGGCACUGUACCUACAAGAUCAGAAAGCGAGUUGAGGUAAUGCAGUGGAGUUUUCAGAGGGAGGGAAGAAUGGCCUUCUCUGCCACCUGAAGAAAAGAUUGAGUGAACUGACACAAGACCAAGUUGACACCAGGAAUACCUACCUCAAGCUGAUUCUGGGAGAAGGGGAUAUUUUUUUAUGACUGAUGUAGGUGAGAACUCCGAUGAAGAUAGAAGUUCUAUUGCUGAGAGCUCAGAUGACAACUGCUAUACUUUCUGAAAUCCUACACCACCCCUGCCUCUUUCUCUCUGUCUCACUUUCUCCCACAGGAGAGGGAGAAGGUCGCCAACCACCUCCCUUGGGAGCAGCCUGGUCUCCUGACGUUGACCCCUCACCUUCUGAACCCAUCCAGGGAAAUGUAAUUUGCCUGAUGAUGUGCUAGUGGAGAAGGAAUCUGUCAUGUUUCCUCUCCUCACCACCUCUCUUCCGGUCCUAGACUAUGGCAACAUCAUCUGCAACUCAUACUGUUGGUUGAGGACCUCUUACUGAGGAAUGUGGUUCUUCAUUAUUAUUUAUUUGUAUUUACUUCAAGUAUUUUCUAUGCUGCCAUGAUUGGGGUUUUUGUGAGUUGCAAAAGAGUCCUUGAUCUCAAUGGGACUGCUAAAAUAAAUAAAGGUCUUAACAAAUAAAUAAAUGCAUUAAGCACUGUGUG